GACGAACGCUGGCGGCGUGCCUAAUACAUGCAAGUCGAACGAAGCUGUUUUAACUGGUGCUUGCACCGACUUAAACAACUGAGUGGCGAACGGGUGAGUAACACGUGGACAACCUGCCUCAAGGCUGGGGAUAACAUUUGGAAACAGAUGCUAAUACCGAAUAAAACUCAGUGUCGCAUGACACAAAGUUAAAAGGCGCUUUGGCGUCACCUAGAGAUGGAUCCCCGGUGCAUUAGUUAGUUGGUGGGGUAAAGGCCUACCAAGACAAUGAUGCAUAGCCGAGUUGAGAGACUGAUCGGCCACAUUGGGACUGAGACACGGCCCAAACUCCUACGGGAGGCUGCAGUAGGGAAUCUUCCACAAUGGGCGAAAGCCUGAUGGAGCAACGCCGCGUGUGUGAUGAAGGCUUUCGGGUCGUAAAGCACUGUUGUAUGGGAAGAACAGCUAGAAUAGGGAAUGAUUUUAGUUUGACGGUACCAUACCAGAAAGGGACGGCUAAAUACGUGCCAGCAGCCGCCGCAG
rnacentral:rRNA from 1 species